GGGUUUUGCCUGGGGUGGGGGCAGUCCCUGACUCCUCCCCACCCCACCUUUCUUUGCUGGAGCAGACAGCACACCUCAGCCCAGGGCUGGAAAGCAUGCUGGGAUGCUGGGGGACUGAUUUUUACUUGAACCAGGAAGGGGUCUGGGACAGAAGUUUCAUAAAUCCAUCUGACCCAAAUUAGUUAAGUCUGAUACAGGUUUAUCUUAAACCAGCUUCAGCCAUUUUGAAACUGGUUUAUGUGUACUGAACUUCUGUUCUGUUACAGGUUUAAAUCAAUUUCUGAUCAUUUAAUCCAGUUUGUGUGUAACUUCUGUCCCCGGCCAUAAAGAGCAAUCCCCAGUUCCACAAAUACUAUGUUAUGUUAAAUAUUAAAAGCAGUAAAUCCUGCAUCUGUGCAAGGUGUUGGACUUGAUGACCCACGGGCUGAAUGCGCUGGUGCACCCCCUGCAAAAAGGUCACCACUCACCACCCUGCUGCCAACACCGCUGGCAGCGUCUGCGGGUGAUCUGCGAUCCCUGCUGGCCACUUCUGAUGCUACCGGCGGUGGCUGCAGGUGGUUGCUGACCCUUGGUCAACAUUUGCCGCCACCCCCACACCCCUGCCGCCAACAGCACUGGCGGCCUCUGCGGGAGCUCCCCCACUUGCUGCUGCUGUGUCCCCCCCAGCCAUCGGGGGCAUGCGCUGUUCAUGUGCUGACCCUUGAGGUUCUUUCCAACCCCAUAGUUCUAUCUAUCCUCCUGGUAUCAUAGGCAAGUAUGUAGUUUGAAUGGAAGAAGGUUGUUAAGCAGUACAAGUCUAGUUAGGUUUGCUUUUUAAUGAUGGAGUUGGAGGAUAUUGUGGCAGUCAGGUUUAAUGAAGUUAUAAAAGAAAGUGACUAAGAUGCCAAAACAAUGAUGACAUGCAAAUUCCUUCUAUGUGGAAAUGCUAACAGGAUGCAAUGGGACCAGAAGACAAUGGGGCAGGAAGGGCCAAGGACUGAACAAAAUACCAGUGUUCUUAAAAUUAAUUGACACUAGUGACUGAACAGUUUCUGCAUACAGUUCACAAAUAGCAAUAAUACCAUCUUUCCUGGGGCAGUCCCACCCCUGUUGAGGAUGAGAGGAUUGUUAAAUUUCAAGGCGAAUUCAUUCCUUGACCUCUUAGCUAAAACUGUCAUAUGUGAGAGGGAACCAGCAGCCACUUCUCAAAAAUCACCCAGUACUGGACCCAACUUUUUAAGCCAUCUCAUAUAGGCCAGCACAGAGCUUUUCAAUGAUGAGAGAACUUGGGGUGAAGUCUGGGUUCCAUUCAAGUUUAUGGAAAGUUUGCCACUGUCUGCAAUGGGGCCGGAAUUCCAUCUUCACCCUCCAGCAAUCCCAGCCAACUACUAUCUGCAACCAAUCAUAUAGUUAAAACUAGCUCUACAGCAGAGGUAUCAAACCUACACCAUGUGAGCUGGAUUUGCCUGGGAAACUCUGCCAUCCACAAACCCAUGUGGUGCUGGUCCAUGGGCUAGAUCAAGCCCACAGGCCCCCCUCCCCCAAUCUCUAAACUCCACUUCCUCCCCUCCUCUUGCUGGGAGAACUGGAGGGGGUCUGUGGGCCUCUUCUGGCCCAUGGGCCAGCCCUGUGACACUCAUCUGACCCAUAGGGCUGGAUGAAUUUGAUACCCCUGCUGUUCAGCCCAGACCUGGGAUCCAUCUAGUCUCUCUAGCCACUGUCUUUUAUUUUCACGGAGGAACCUGUAAACGGGCUUCCCACACUGCCCAGAGUCACGUCACCUCCUGGCUGGAACAGCAGUGUCUCAUUGUAAUAGAUUGCUUGCCAUGCCUUUGAAGUUAUGGGACAUAUGCCUAGACACUACUGGGAGGCAACUAAGAAUGGUUAUGGACUCAAAACAUCUGUGGCUCUUCGUAGGGCUCCACCAUCCCUAUACCCUGCCCUAACCACACCUGAUAUUCUGGGCGCUGUUGAUUGCCUCUAAGGUUUGUUACUAUCUUUGCUUGAAGGAUCUUGACUAGGGUCCUUGCCUAAGUGGCUGCUUUCCCCAUUCUUCCCUGUACGCGUCUCAAGACAGCUACCUCUCUCUCUGGUUCUCCCCUUGUCACCCUCUUGUGACUAUCCUUUCUCUCUUCUUUUUCCCCUUUUGGGAGAGUAAGGUCAGCUUCACCUCCCUCUUCUUUUAGGUCCCUGAAGUGGUUCCCUUCACCCCCUAGAAUCGGACUCACUGGUCACUCAAGCUUCUUUGGCUGCUCCAAUUCUUGGCUGGACCUCAUCUGGUAAGUAGCAGGGUCAGAGCUUACCCUUCUGCUCUCUACUCAUUCGCCUUCCCUCGCCUGCUCUCUCCUCUUCUCUGUUUGCUUUCUUCUUCUGCUUCUCCCCGGAUGCUCCCUCAGCGUCUCUUAAAUCUCCCUCUCUUCAGCUGGGUCCAUCAUGGCAGUUCCCUAUUGGCUGCCUGCCUGACCCAGCUGUUCCUUCUUUGCUCACCAGCAUGGUACUACUUCCUUUCUCUGUUCUUUUCCCAUGCUGCUCUUUUUUUCUCCAUGCUUGGAUUCCAACAGCUGGGUCUACCACGGCAGCCUUUGAUCUGCUGUGGCCCCAGCCGACUUCUCCACUCAUCCAGAUCGCAUUGGGGUUCGCUGCAGCUCCUCCAGCUCCAUAAGCUAAGUUUCUCUCUUUUAGUCCUUCCUGAUUUCUGUUCGUGGCAGGGUGCUUCAGAACCCAUAUACUGACUCCUUGUGACUAUUCAAAUGAAAACUGCAGGGGUGUGUUAUACUGGCAUUUACAGUAUCUAUCUAGCUAAAAUAGCAAUAUUUGCCAUUCUCAUUCUUUCUCUCUUCUCCCCCCCUCCCCCCCCCCAAUGGGGGUCACUGUUUCUCUCUCUCUCUCUCGUAUGUGUUAUUUUAUGGAUACAUCCCAGCAGGGACCCAGCAGUUUGAUAAUGAAAAAUAUCAGCUUUGUCAUUUAAAAAUUCUGAAAAUGGAACGGUUUCAAAUUAGUUGUAAAGUCAGUCCCAUCAUUUAAAAAUAACAUUUUUAGUUAAUUAGCAUUUGCUUUCACAGCUGCUACAUUAACCAGCUAGGCUUUAUUUAUUUAUAAAUAUAUUUUAUAUAUAUAACAGAGUUUACCUCGAUUUGAAAUGUCCUCAUUUCUAGAAUAUUCUAAUAACAAAUCCCUUUGCAACUGUUUGCAUCACCCAGGACCGAAUCCUGCUCACCAUACAGUGAAAAAAUUCAGAAGUGAGUAAGGAUGGUCUUGCAUCUAUGAUGCCAGACUGGGACUCAGGUAAUAUAGGUUCAACUCCCAGCUCUGCCAUCAGUUUCCUCUGUGUGUGACAGAUGUUAAUGAUGUUGCUGCCUGCGUUAACAGAAGGUGCUCAGGAACAAUGGUGAUGAGGGUGCUCUAAAAGCCUAUACAGGGUACAACUGUGUUCUUGUUUGACCUAAGCCCAAGUCACUUACUCUUCCAGGCUUCAGUUUCCUUCCCCAUCCCUUAUCAGAGGGCAAUGAUGAUGCUUUUUUUCCCCACCUUUCAUCUGUCAUGCCUAUUUAAAUGGAAAGCUCUGUGGCAUGCAGACUGUCUUGCUAUGCAUAGAUACAAUCCUUGAGCAAUGGGCCUUGAUCAGAAAUGGGGCCUCAAGCUACUUCCUUAUUAUACAUCAGUUAUAAAUACCUACCUUCAAUGGCAGUUUCAUGUGGAAGGUAAAAGAGAUUUGGCGGUAGAAAAGUACAGUGUGGUGACAUUCUGUUUGCUUGCCUUUGUUGUCAUCAUAUUUAAGACUUCCUAGCGAUUCCUUCUUUUUUCCACUUUCAUAUCGUGAUUAGAAUAUCUCUCAUUUUACAGUGGAGUCCUCCUUCAAUUAUCCUUCCUCGAAGUCUAGCUUUGGAGCUUUUAAAAACAUGAGCAGCAAAGAAAUCUGUAUUAAACUGCUGGAAAGGAGGUGGUAAAAUUCUUAGUAGUGAUCUGAAAACAACUUAUUUUGGUUUUUAUGAAGUCUAUUAGGAAGAAGUUUAACUAAAUGUAAAUAAGGCACUCUUACAGUGAAAUCAUUGUCCACCCAAGCUUCAGUAUUUACUCACCCAUAUCAAUUGAAAAGCUGAUUCACAUUAAAUUGAAGCAAAUUUGGGUUCCUUACUUGAGACCUCAUUGUGCCAUUACAUGAAGUUAUCUACCAUGAUCCUAAGUCCUCAUUUGAGUCACUGCUUUCCAAAACCCACCACUUGUUUUUUCUUACUUCCAGGGAGAAUUACCUUAGUUCAGUUUUAGCCUCAAUUCUCCCAGCUCCCAGAGGGGGAGAUGGAUGUCCAGUACCUGGAGGAAAACUGCUCUGUGGGAAAUUUGCUACAAGUGAUAUCUUGCCAGAGGUGGCUUAUGUGGAAGCUAGAUAUGUGAGCAUCUUGGGUGCACAUUUCAGAAGGGGUGUGAUGACUCCAGGAGUUCUGUUGCAGCAAGAAACUGGUAGCCCAUUCGCAAAGGAUAGGCUGUAUGAAGAAAAGAAAUGGCUGGCCCAAGGCAAUAGAUGCCAGAGCAUGCCAUUCAGAGGAGAAACUGAAGGAUGGAGAACAGAUGGAAAUUUUGUUUUAUUAGUGUGGGGAGGGAUAGAAAAACACAAUGUCUGUAAUCUUGGUCUCCAAAAAUACCCUGGGCCAACCUUGUUCCUGUUUGAGGAAGGAUUCCCAUCAGCUAGAACUUUCCCUAGAAAUGCUCUUUUGCUAAAUUUAUGUAACAAGAAGGUUCAUCACUAAUGUCAGUCUGGAUGGUUCUCUGGUUUAAAUGUCUGAUAUAUUCUUGAGCAGAGGUUUCUAAAUAUAAAGUAGACUUGUGAAGUUUUAUCUUAUGAAUAUUCACUUGUUGAAUUUACAUUUUGUUUUUCAUCUCUCAGCUUCCAGAACAGAGCCUGCACAGAGGACAGCCUUCCCAGCUGUCUGAUUAAACUCUCUGAUGGAAAGAUUUUCAGAAAACAGUAACUCAUUGUUUCAUUAUAUGUCUCUCUCCCCUUUAGUUAUUUUCUUUCAGAACACUUUGAAAAAGGCCAGUCACUAUGUCGCAUGCAGGUCCUAGUGAUCUAGGGAGUCGGGCAGAAUUCUGACUUCAUUUACACUUGAAUAAAUUCUGGUUCCAGUGAAAAAUGAAUAUAGAUGUUUACUCAUAGACCAUGGGGUUAUUUGAUCAUCCACCAUCCAGGUGUGGGGUUUUCAGCAAACCCUAAAUAGAGAAAAUGUUUCUGAUAAACAUCCCUCUGUUUUGCAGCAGGCAGGACUGGGUUUGCUAGGGUACAGCAUGGCUGGAUGUAGUUGUACUGGGACAGCUGAAGUGGACAAGCUUGUGAGAUACUUGCUUUGUCUUUCUAGGUGCUUUCUUUCUACUGUGCUUGUCAUCAUAGUACUUGUCCUUCUAUGCGAGGCUUAGCUAUUGCUGGCAGUCCCAUGCUUUCAUGCAUGUGAAAAAUAACUAGCAAAGGAAGGAAAUAGAUGAAUAGGGAUAUGUAUUCUUCACAGAAGAGCCUUGGACGUGAAAUCACUUCUAGGCAGAGGAUUUAUUUUCUGUUCCCAGCUACUUUCUUCUUUACUAUUGUAUCAAGUUAUUCCCCAAUCUGACUCCACAUGGUGGUUAAUGGAACAGAACUGAUGCAAUUGCUCCAAAAAGGGCUUUUAGCCAGUAAAGUCUAAUUAAAGCAACCCUUUUUCAGGGGGGGAAAAUCCUUGUUAAAACAGUCCAUUUCUUUUGCAGUCUUUGACUAUAUGUGGCAUAACUUACCAUCCUGCUGAAGACAGUAUUUGAAACACCCUGGGAGCAGCUAUGUGCAAUAAUGUGCAGGUGUGGGAAGUUCAGAACAUUUUUGUCAAAACAGUUUUGUGUUAGAAAGUACCACUUCAAUGACAGCAAUGUUUUUUGUAAAAUCAUAGAUUUUGUAGAAAGUUCCUUUGAAAUGGAAAUUUCAAAUGUUGAUAAUUACAACAUAACUUCUAUCUUGCCUCCUGGGCUAGUCAUAGUGUGGGGGCAAAAGAGUUUGAGUUAAUAUUUUUACUAUGUUUUCAAUUGUUCACAUGGAGACAGAGGCAUAACAAGCAGUCUCUGCACCCUGGCUAUCGGUGACAGCCAGAGCAGUAGUGGUUACAGAAGUGGCCCAGGCUGCAGUAGCCAUUCUUGUAUGUCCUUAAAAUUGGCUCCUGGGGUUGGUGCCCUGCUUGCCUGCCCCUGGUUAUGCUACUGCAUGAGGAAAGGGGAAAGGAGAUGUUGCUAAGACUGCCUGUAAAAGCUAUUCAUGAAAGACUAAAAGUUGCUCCUAUUGCAGGAAUAAACUUCCUAUGUGCAACGAAGAUUAAAAAAACCAAAAAAGACUUCAAGAAAAUGGCUGGAUAUGUGGAAUAAAGCAAUUUGAAAAGAAUCUCUCUCUCUUUAAAAAAAAAUGAUUCAGCAGAGCUUUACUUAACUGGAUUAAGGAAUUAACCUGUGCAGAGAGAACACUUCCCAGCAUGGAACUUCGCUGCUUCCCCAGACCCCCCACCAAGUGUUAUGUGUGACCUGGUAAUCCUGGUACAAAGGGGCUCCAGGAAGUCCAAGGAAGCCUGCAGUGGCACAACCAACCACUUAAAAUGCCUGCCGCUAUUGUGUGCUCCCCAUACUGAUGUCAGUCUGUAUUUUGUUAUGAUACUACCUCCUCUCCCAAAAAGCAUGAUAGUAUGCUCCAUCUUUCCCCUCCCCUUUUUCUUUAUUUGCCAACCCACAGCAGUGAGAAGAAAGGGUAUAGAGCCAUUAUAUAUAGCCCCAGCCAGUAACCACCUAUUCCCCCAGAAUAAGCAUGUAUAGCCUCCGUGAGGAGUAAACACUUGUAAUCUCCUUGGAACAGUCACCGCCCCCCUUAGAAUAAUCAUCCAUAGCCCCUUAAACACAAUAAACAGGCAGGAUUGUGCUGCAAUUGUGCCACCUUCGUAGAGCUGUCUCUGGGGCUAAGGAGCUAAGGGCUGUCACAAAUCUCACCCUUCCACACUGAGUGCCAAGCAGACUUGCUUGACCUGCUGUUUCUAACAUAAAUGUCUAACAGUAGGUGCAUACAAAACAACUCUUGUCUCUCCCUUAUGCUGCAGGCCCAGAGAAAGAGCGAACUAUGGUUGACAGCUGCUAGUCACAUUGGCUAAUAUAUGAUGGGGAGGCACUGAGAUAUUAGAAGCAGGAAAAUGAAUCCCCUGGAAGAAGCAGGACACUGGUUUUCAGGGAGCUGCAAGGAAGAUGAAUGGCUCUCACUUACAGUUUAGUUAAUGAGUCAGCAUAUAUUCAUUCAUGGACACAAUUUAUUAACCCAUAAACACUGCAGAUGACGGUGUUAUCACUGUGAUAAAGUUAUUGUAAUUAGCUGUAUAAUUUAUAAGGUGGCUGCUGCCUUGGAGGGGACCCAACACAUGUGCUUGUCUCUUCCCAUACUGUGUUUGUACUGGUGACAGAGGAAGGGUAUGCAAGGGAAAUGGCAGGGGUGGCCAUUAUGCGGUUGCCCUGACAUUGUUCAGGCUGCAGGGAAAUGCAGCUGAUUUGUACGCUGUCUUCUGCUGACUUCUAUUUCUGCAGGCUGUUGCCAGCAUUGCUAAUGCAUGGAAGGGAAGGGUGCUUGGGCCUGGUCUCCAGUUCUCCAUCUGAAGUGAUGGCUGGAUGGCAGCAUUUCUCCUGAAGGCACUGAAAAACAAUAUACAACAUCUAACAUCUAACAGCAUCAAAGGGUUGCUCAGUGGAACAGAGGUCAUCUCGCCCUGGACAGGAUGAUGCCACCACUGUAAUGCAGAUGGCAGCAUUACUUGUUCCUGAGGUCACAGCACAGGCCUGUCUGUUUAUUAUGCUGGGUGGCUACUGAAUAUCAACAGUCACUACAUGACAUCUCUGAGAGAUUAUGGGCAACACAUCCAGUGAUGAUGACAAGAAAUUUAAAAUGGGAUAAGCUUCUAAGGGAGGCUGGGGAUUACACCAUGCCAGAGAAACUCAAGGUACAAGAAGAUCCUAGGGGGAGCUCUGGAAAAUGUAACACCCACUAUUAUUAUUGUUUUACAACAGCACUCAAAGGCCCCAAUUAGAAUUGGAGCCCCAUUGUGCUAGGUGCUGUACAAACAUAUAGCAAGAGACACUCGGCUGUCUUGAAGUCCUAUUGCACUGACACUGAGGACCACCACACAGCAUUAUCCAUGGGAACACUUUUCAGACAUUAUUAAAUGAUGAUUCACUGUUGCGGUGUUGUUAACUUUGCACUGCAGAUGAGGAAAUGAUGGCAGAGAGGCUGACUGGCCCACCUUAAAUGUUAGGGAAAAUUCAUAAUGGCAUUAGUAAUGGAGGCCAGAAAACAAGUGCAGACUCCCAUUUCACUUUUCUUACCACAGUGUCCUGCUGCCUUCCUGUUAAAAGUUGUAUAAUGCCACUGUAGUGUGUAGUAUGCAAGUUGGGAGCUGGAACAGCAGCCCUAGCUCUCUCCUGCCUUAUUCCUUCUCUCCUUUUUCUGGGUUUUUUUCUGCUUAAUGUUUCUGUUAAUCUUAGUGACACUUUCCUUCACUCAGGCUGAUGCAAGAGCCACUUUUUUUCCGCAGUGGUGCCUCACAGCACUAGAAUGCUCCAGCAUAUCAGGCAGCAUCUAUCUCCAGUGUCCAUCUGGCUUAGCCCAGACCCACCAUCUUUUCAUGGUAUGCUCUUGAAAGCCUUCCUCUUGGCCUAGAGCAUGUUUUUCUGCUGUCAGUGGGCAGCUCCAUUUCUCCAGUCUUACCAAGCCUGUUGUUCCCAAUGGGUGGAUGGUUUCUCUCUGCCUGCCCUGCCCACCAAGCACCUCCUCUGUCCUUUGAAAAAAAAUUACCUUCCUUUCAGGAAUCCUUCCCAUUUUGUUUUCACCACUAAUCCCCUGAGAACACUUUCCAUGUUUUGUGUUUCACUGUCUUUCUCUCUCAGGUUCUAGUCCUGCAGCUAGAUGCACACAAAUGGGGCUUUUGUGACCUAGUGGUUCUGACUGCUCAAGUGAGCAACCAUGGCAUAUACACAGUGAAGUUUUCAGAGAGUAGCUUGUUGUGCUGCCUCCAUGUCUCUAUCAAGAAAUAAAAAAUGGGAUAUGCCAGUGUGAUGUUGGUAUCAUAAUGUUGCAGGUUGCAUGAGGAUGAUGGGAAAUAGCAACAAGAGAAUUUAAACCCUGAAGUUAAGGGUCCUUGGGGAAGAUAAGAGGCUACUUUUUGUCCUAAUAAACUCUGGGUUUUUCUACAGAAGAAAAGAUGGAGUCACCAAAACAAUUCCAUGAUUCCUUUGGUAGAGGCAAACCAUCAGAAUCUAUUAGCCAGGGUGUUAAGGCUGCACCUAUAUAGCAGUAGCAGACAUUACUCCUUUUUUUUCCAUAGUUUUCUAUCAUUGUUACCAGUGCUGUCUUCUUGCUUUAUCCAUUUCUGAGACUUGUUACAGGGGAUCUAGGAAUACAGUAGGAUUUCAAGGCUGCCUGGACCUGUUUCCUUUCCCUUUUCUCAGCAAAUUUUCCUGAGAAUGAAAGGUUAGAGAGAUCUUUCAUAUCCACAGCAUGGUCUUGCAUUUCAUCAAACACAUGUUAUUGAAUUCUGAAUUCUUCCCCACUUUUUGGUAAGACUCUUAGCUUCCCCAGAUUCCUUUGAUCCCAUGCCAAACAAUGACAAAUUGUACAAGUCCCCAUCAAAAGCCUUGCAGGAGUGUCACGAAUGCCAGCCUUUCUGUGAAGCACAUUAGCUCAAGUAGUUUAAGCUUAAGACUGAUGAGUUUGAUUCUUCUAUUUCAAUCUGCUCUUUCAAAUUAAAAAGCUGUUAAAAGCUUCAGCCUGUCUUUGUACAUCUGCUGCUUCACAGCCAAUGAAUUGCAUGUCCAGGAUUCGAGGCUGUGGGUAGGAGGAUGAUAUUUUGUGAUAAAUAUAUUUGGUGGGGGUUUGUGUUAGGGGAUUUUGUAAAAAACCUGCCACAGCAAAUGAUCAAUCUGUUGUGGAGAUUGCUCAAAUGGCAUCUAAUACACCUCCAAGUUUUAUAGGGAGAAUAGAAGCCUACAAAGUCCUUGGACUUGCAGGCUGUGCAAAGCUAACUUUUGCUUACACUUCUUAAUUGCUUUCCUCUCUGCUGCUCCAUAAUUGUAUUAUGGAUUGGUUAUAACUGUAGAAUAUCAUUCUGUAAAUAUGUCAUAUAUUAGCCCAGUUAUUAAUUCUGUAAUUCUUCUAUACAGUUUUGCAACUAUAUGAUUAAAUCUGGAAACCCUUUA